rnacentral:rRNA from 1 species
CCAGACUCCUACGGGAGGCAGCAGUGAGGAAUAUUGGUCAAUGGGCGCGAGCCUGAACCAGCCAAGUCGCGUGAGGGAAGACGGUCCUAUGGAUUGUAAACCUCUUUUGUCGGGGAGCAAAAGACGCCACGUGUGGCGUUCCGAGAGUACCCGAAGAAAAAGCAUCGGCUAACUCCGUGCCAGCAGCCGCGGUAAUACGGAGGAUCCGAGCGUUAUCCGGAUUUAUUGGGUUUAAAGGGAGCGUAGAUGGGUUGUUAAGUCAGUUGUGAAAGUUUGCGGCUCAACCGUAAAAUUGCAAUUGAUACUGGCAGUCUUGAGUACAGUUGAGGUAGGCGGAAUUCGUGGUGUAGCGGUGAAAUGCUUAGAUAUCACGAAGAACCCCGAUUGCGAAGGCAGCCUGCCGCAGCGUUACUGACGCUGAAGCUCGAAAGCGCGGGUAUCGAACAGGAUUAGAUACCCGGGUAA